rnacentral:rRNA from 1 species
AGAUACCAGCUGGCUGCAACUGUUUAUUAAAAACACAGCACUGUGCAAACACGAAAGUGGACGUAUACGGUGUGACGCCUGCCCGGUGCCGGAAGGUUAAUUGAUGGGGUUAUCCGUAAGGAGAAGCUCUUGAUCGAAGCCCCGGUAAACGGCGGCCGUAACUAUAACGGUCCUAAGGUAGCGAAAUUCCUUGUCGGGUAAGUUCCGACCUGCACGAAUGGCGUAAUGAUGGCCAGGCUGUCUCCACCCGAGACUCAGUGAAAUUGAACUCGCUGUGAAGAUGCAGUGUACCCGCGGCAAGACGGAAAGACCCCGUGAACCUUUACUAUAGCUUGACACUGAACACUGGUCCUUGAUGUGUAGGAUAGGUGGGAGGCUUUGAAGUGUGGACGCCAGUCUGCAUGGAGCCAUCCUUGAAAUACCACCCUUUAAUGGCUGGUGUUCUAACGUGGACCCGUUACCCGGGUUGCGGACAGUGUCUGGUGGGUAGUUUGACUGGGGCGGUCUCCUCCUAAAGAGUAACGGAGGAGCACGAAGGUUAGCUAAUCCUGGUCGGACAUCAGGAGGUUAGUGCAAAGGCAUAAGCUAGCUUGACUGCGAGAGUGACGGCUCGAGCAGGUGCGAAAGCAGGUCUUAGUGAUCCGGUGGUUCUGAAUGGAAGGGCCAUCGCUCAACGGAUAAAAGGUACUCCGGGGAUAACAGGCUGAUACCGCCCAAGAGUUCAUAUCGACGGCGGUGUUUGGCACCUCGAUGUCGGCUCAUCACAUCCUGGGGCUGAAGUAGGUCCCAAGGGUAUGGCUGUUCGCCAUUUAAAGUGGUACGCGAGCUGGGUUUAGAACGUCGUGAGACAGUUCGGUCCCUAUCUGCCGUGGGCGCUGGAGAAUUGAGGGGGGCUGCUCCUAGUACGAGAGGACCGGAGUGGACGCAUCACUGGUGUUCGGGUUGUCAUGCCAAUGGCAUUGCCCGGUAGCUAAAUGCGGAAGAGAUAAGUGCUGAAAGCAUCUAAGCACGAAACUUGC